rnacentral:rRNA from 1 species
GACAGAGGGUGCAAACGUUGUUCGGAAUUACUGGGCGUAAAGCGCGUGUAGGCGGUUUAGCAAGUCGGGUGUGAAAGCCCUUGGCUCAACUGAGGAAGUGCAUUCGAAACUGCUGAACUUGAGUCCUGGAGAGGAUAGUGGAAUUCUCGGUGUAGAGGUGAAAUUCGUAGAUAUCGAGAGGAACACCGGUGGCGAAGGCGGCUAUCUGGACAGUGACUGACGCUGAGACGCGAAAGCAUGGGGAGCAAACAGGAUUAGAUACCCUGGUAGUCCAUGCCGUAAACGAUGGGUGCUAGGUGUCGCGGGCAUUGACCCCUGCGGUGCCGAAGCAAACGCAUUAAGCACCCCGCCUGGGGAGUACGGCCGCAAGGCUAAA